AGUGAACGCUGGCGGUAGGCCUAACACAUGCAAGUCGAACGGCAGCACAGUAAGAGCUUGCUCUUACGGGUGGCGAGUGGCGGACGGGUGAGGAAUACAUCGGAAUCUACUUUUUCGUGGGGGAUAACGUAGGGAAACUUACGCUAAUACCGCAUACGACCUACGGGUGAAAGCAGGGGAUCUUCGGACCUUGCGCGAUUGAAUGAGCCGAUGUCGGAUUAGCUAGUUGGCGGGGUAAAGGCCCACCAAGGCGACGAUCCGUAGCUGGUCUGAGAGGAUGAUCAGCUACACUGGAACUGAGACACGGUCCAGACGCCUAAGGGAGGCAGCAGUGGGGAAUAUUGGACAAUGGGCGCAAGCAUGAUCCAGCCAUACCGCGUGGGUGAAGAAGGCCUUCGGGUUGUAAAGCCCUUUUGUUGGGAAAGAAAAGCAGCAGGUUAAUACCCCGCUGUUCUGACGGUACCCAAAGAAUAAGCACCGGCUAACUUCGUG
rnacentral:rRNA from 1 species